GCUCAAGUGGCGGAAUUGGUAGACGCGCUGGAUUCAAAAUCCAGUUCUUAUUAAGAGUGUGGGUUCGAUUCCCACCUUGAGUACAA
rnacentral:tRNA from 1 species